GCCAGGCCUGGUGGCGCACGCCUGUAAUUCCAGCGGCUUGGGAGGCUGAGACAGGAGGAUCAUGAGUUCAAAUCCAACCUCAGCAAAAACAAGGUACUAAGCAACUCAGUGAGCCCGUCUCUA
rnacentral:sRNA from 1 species